rnacentral:rRNA from 1 species
ACAGCAGUAGCCACGGUAAUACAGAGGGUGCGAGCGUUAAUCGGAUUUACUGGGCGUAAAGCGUGCGUAGGCGGCUUUUUAAGUCGGAUGUGAAAUCCCUGAGCUUAACUUAGGAAUUGCAUUCGAUACUGGGAAGCUAGAGUAUGGGAGAGGAUGGUAGAAUUCCAGGUGUAGCGGUGAAAUGCGUAGAGAUCUGGAGGAAUACCGAUGGCGAAGGCAGCCAUCUGGCCUAAUACUGACGCUGAGGUACGAAAGCAUGGGGAGCAAACAGGAUUAGAUACCCGGGUAGUCCCUGUCUCUUAUAC